GAAUCAACAAACAAGAAUAAAUGUCAAUGACAGCUGAUGAGAUUUUUGUUCUUUAUUUACUUUUCUGUAAAUCCCGCAGCUAAUAGCUUUGAACUGUAUUAUAUACAAUUUUAAGUACAAUUUCUUGUUUUUAUCAUAUACUCGUUGUAAAGUUUUCUUGAUUAAAUUUUUACAAGAUGGCUUUACAAUAUGGUUCACCAUUAGUUUUUGGAGUAAUGCUGGUAGUAGCUGUAGGGACUAUAGCAUACUCAUGGUGGAAUUCGAAAAAUAGACAAGAGAAAUAUAGUAAUAGUAGUUCCAAGAACUCUUUCCCGUAUGGAUAUGACACAAUACCAGUACAGUCGAAAACCGAUGGAGAAAGGUAACUAAUUAAUAAUUAUUGUUUAUUCAUUAAUAUUUUUACGUUGUAUGAUAUAUUUUGAACCCAAAAUAUACAAGUUUUAUAUACAAUUAACAAUGAUUUUUUUAAAAUAUUUUUACUAAAGUCAUUAAUAUCUACAAGAUAUUAAAGAUCAUGUACCAAAUUGUUCGAUAUUUUAACAUUAGAAAAAAAUUAAAUUAAAAAUAUAUUUGGAUUUAUUAUGCUGUUUUAUUAUUUUCUCUAAAAAUUAAAAUAAAAGCAAAAACAUAACAUUUGUAUUAUGUUUUGUACUAUUUUCUGGUUGUAAUAAUUUUUUUGAUAUUAGAUUUCUCUGAAUAUUGAAAAAAUUAUUUAAAUUAACUUAAAUUACCUAUUUUUGUUCAAAAGCAUGUUUCGGUUUAUAUAUUCAAUCUACAAAGUUUUCUCUGAAAAAUGUUUGCAAUUUAAUUUUUUUUCAAUUUCAAUUACUAGAUUAAGCAUGGAAAAUUUUGUGUCUUUAUUUUCCAAAAAAUCGAUCACAAUUACCCGACUAUUCCAGAAUUAAAACCAGUAAUUUAAUGAUCAUUUUUUGUAUCUAUUUUUAUCAAACAAUUAAAUCUAGAAUAAUCAAUCAAAACAAAUAAGUUGAUAUUUCAAUUAGCCACUAUCAUAGAUAUUUAAAAUUCAUAUGUUUGCUCAAAAUAAGUAAUUUCAAAUAUUUCAAGUAAGUAGAAAAUUUUUACGAGACAAAUCAAGUAAGGUAAAUAAAAUUGUAUAUAUCAUAACUUAUCUAAAUAAACAAUAUUUUUCAGAAAACACAGAAGGAGAACUGUAGAACAGUGUUCCAUUUGCUUGGAGGGAUUGAGAACCAAUGUUACAACACUUCCUUGUCGCCAUGCUUUUCAUAAAAAAUGCAUAGAUGUGUGGUUUCUUAACCAACAGACUUGCCCUAAUUGCAGAAAAACCAGCAACACCACCAUUUAACUUAUCAAGUAAUUUUAACAUCUAUUUGAAUAUAAUAUUUUUCUAUUUUUUUUGUUUUUAUAAUGUUUAAUUCAAUUUUUUUUCUGUCUGUGUAAAUUCCCCAUACAAUUUUGAUUUGAUUAAGGAAUUGUACCAUGAAAAUAUCAAUAUACUUGACAAAAGAUACAUAAUCUGGAAAUUUUUUGUAAGACUAUUUUAAUUUUUGUAUUGAAUAUGAAUUAAGUUUGCCAUGGUUUCACCUACACUUUUCAUAAUACCAGUAUCUUUAACACUGUAUUAUUUAGACCAUUUCUCUUCGUUUUUCAUUAUUAUCAAAUUUUUUUUAAAAAUUAUUUUCUUUUUGUUCUUGAACAUUAUAUUUGUUAUGAUUAUUCUUUAUGCUCUCGAGCAAUAUCUACUUUAUGGGGUUGAUUCCUCUUAGGUGUAAAGGGAAAUUCUACUUAACUCUUUCAGUACCAAUUUGUUUAUUUGGUUUAAGUGAUGUUUUCUCAUGAUAGGCUAUUUAAAUAAACAAGAACGAAACUAAAGAGGUAUCAAUUUAUUAAUUUUUUUUUCAAAGGGGCGUCUUUUGGAACCAGGGACAUUUCCCACUGGAUAUAUUGAACAAAUACAUAUACAUAUAGCAAUGAUACCUUCUUCUAGUGGGUCCGUUGAAAAAAAAAGUCAUCAACAGCAGAUAAAAAAAAACUUUUCCACCACCUAUUUAUCUUUCUGUACAUUUCAGUUAUUUCAUCUCUUAUAAUUAGAAUGUACUGUGACAUUUUUAGGGUCUUUCCAAGAAAUUGCAUACAUACCAAACUGAUUACACCUGAGAUUCGUCUCGUUUUCUGUUUAUGUCUAUAAUUAUUUUGGCACGUUUUUCUGGUAAUUAUUGAAUUAUCAACUGCUGCAAAAAGUGAUUCAUUAAUAAGUUUUGCAGUAUAAAAUCUUAGCUGACAUCAGUCUCUCGAAUGGUUCCUGCUAACUUUAGGACAUCUUUUCCUGGAAUUGUACUAUUCUAUCGGAUAUAAAGAACGAUAUAGAGCAGAGAGCAAUGGAGCAUUUGUUGAUUGUUGUAUUUGAGGUUAUUUGAUGUGAUUAAGUAUUAACAAUAAUGGAAAACGAUUUAGUACUUCUUGAUAUUUUACAUUCGUCCGAUGACGAAAAUGUAGUGCCACCGCUUCCAAAUUACACUUAUUGCACUGUCUAGACCCAGUACAAGCAAUACAGUGAACUGGGUGAACUAGUUCUCUUGCACUACUACUAAGAACAGCAACACUAGCGCUGGUUCUACUACAAAGAACACUUUAGUGAACUAGUUCUGCCAGUGCAGCUACUAAGAACAAACCUAAAGUCACAACUGUCACUUUUCUAUGAAAUGAAAAGAUUGACUACUGAAAUGAACAAACGAUACUUGCACCUCCUAGCGGCGACUGGUGAAAUUUAUAGUAAUGUAGCUUUUCCACAUAAUUCUGUAACUUUUCUAUAACGAAUUUUAUAAAAAAAAAUUCUUGACGUGCACCAAAUAUUUUCUGUAGGAAUUUUUUGGACUUGCCUCGACAUUUUGUAAGUAGAAUAUACAAGUAGGGCACAGCCUGGGUCAAAAAUUGGGACUGAAAGGGUUAAAGAGAGUGAUAUCCCACUCAUUUUUAAUUAUUUGUAAUAAAUUAGGCUACCGGUUGGUUUUAUUCUAUCCGAAAUAUAAAUAUAUCUUUGUUGUAACUUCUUUAUUCGUACAUUUAUAUACUAAAAUUUAGUUUCUAGAUAAAUUAUAAUUGUUUGGUUUCAAGAUUGUGUGGGCAAUAUAUUUUUUUUUGUGAAAUUAUAGUUAGUUCGGUUUUUUGUGAUUUUCUGAUAAUGAUGACAUUAAGCAAUAGAUUUCAUAGUGGAAUAGUUGAUUGAUACAAGAGGAGAAGGUCCGAAUAUGGACUCAAAAGUGGAAAUUUGUCAUUCCGAACUAAGGUGAUUGGAAUUUGGGCCAUGACCAAAAUAUUGUGUAACAGAAGUCAAAUGUCAAUUUACACCUUUAUUUUAAAACUUAAAGCACAAAUUAGCGACAAAAAUCGCUGACAUAAGCGUUUUUUUCAUCUUAUGUUUGUGUGUCCAACUGUUACACAUUAAACACUGGACCCAUAGUUCACCAUUUGUGUCGUCCUUGAAAUGACCACUGCAAAACAUGCAUAUCGCACCUUGCUCAUCUGGAAUGACACCAAUUUAUUACAUGUCAUUAUCCUCAUCAGCUAGAGAGAAAUCAUCCGAAUCUUCCUCAUUCUUCCCUUCUUCAGACCGAGCUCAUAGCUUAAAGAAGUACUUUCAAUUCACUUAUAAUAAAAAACAUGAGUGAUAAAGAAGAUGCUGGGGCGGUUACAACUGCAAUUAUCAUUGCCACAGUUGGUAAUCAGCUGGACUGCUGGACAAAGUCAGUCGACACGUCCACACUUGUUCGAUUAAGUCGAAUGGUGUCGAUCGACAUAGUAUGGACUCAAGUAACACGAGUUUCUAUUUCUUAUUGUACACUAGGUGAUUUAUCAAAAUUGUGCAAAAAGUUGUUUGUCGAGGUAUUUGGUUCUUAGAAUAUGUCUUGAUAUUUGAUUGUAACAAUCAUUGUGUACAGGUUGGCCUUAGAGGACUAAAAAACCAAACGUAUAUAAGUAGUGUGUAAAUAUAUUUUAUUUGCAGAUAUUUAUCGACUCAAAUUUUUAACUCUUACUAUUCUGUCGGUAAGAAUUUUUGACAAUAUGUUUUUUUUAUAUAUAUAUAUAUACAAAAUUAAUUGAUAACCAUAUAGUUAGUGUUUAUUAUUUCAGCUAUGAUAAUACUAGAAUAAUGAUGUUUGAACUCAAUAAGUCUUGUGACUAACAAAGAAAAACACAUUUUUUGCCAAAAGUCGAUUCUAUUCAUCAAUGUAAUCAAUCAACGCUUCUCUAACUUCUCGAUGCCGUGGAUUUGUCGUUUUUCUCGAUAUAGGCUUCAGUUUUACCAAUUGCUUCUUCAUUUGAGCUAAAUUUUUUAUCGGCGAGCAUUUUUUUGAGAUCAGCGAAUAGCCAGUAAUCACUGGGGGACAGAUCUGGACUAUACGGUGGAUGAGGGAACAAUUCGAAGUUUAAUUAAUUCAAUUUAGCCAUCGUCUUGUUAAUCGGUGCCAUUUUCUUGGUAAAACAGUGGUUUUGUCUUCGACAUAUGAAGCUGUUUUUCCUUGAUUUUUGAAUUCGAACGAUCCAACUACGACAACAUGGACUAUCUCCAUUUUGGAAUUGGUCGAUGAACAAUAUUCCAUGCGCAUCUCAAAAUUCUGAAGCCAUAACCUUCCCAGCUGACUGAUGUGCCUUUGGACGCUUGGGACGUGAUUCACCGGCUGCAGUCCACUCAGAUGAUGAUCGUUUUGUCUUCUGAUAUCUUUACGGCCUCAGUUAUCUUACGCAGUUUUAGUUUACGAUUCGAUAUAAUCAAUUUGUGGACUUUUUAGUUGUUUUUUUGGAGUAACCACCUCAAUUGGACGACCAGAACGUUCGCGGCCAUCGGUGCCUGUACGACCACGUUUAAAUUAAGCGCCAUCUAUGUUUCAGUCACGCGACUUACUGAGUGUUGCAGGUAUUCGUGUUGUUAACUAAGAUUCGCUAAUUUUAUUUUCUUUUUUAGCUUAUUAACACGUUGAUUGCCAAACUAAUUUUCACAAUUUUAUUUAAUCGCACUGAAUCUUUAAAAAUACUUAUUUAUAUGAAAAGUUAUCACUGACAAGUAUAGAAAAUGUAUGAGAAUUAUUAGAAAAAAAUUUCCUUGGGGGGGAUAAAUCAUGUUGUAUAUUUCGUAGUUGGCAGUUAACGUGUUAAAAUUAAUAAUACACUAUGAUUAUAUUUGGUUAGGAAUCGUUUUGAAAUAGCAGCUGUUUUAUAAUAUUAUAUAGUUAGGAAGAUCGUAAUUUAUGAAUUAUGUUCAAAGUGAAAUUAUUUCAAUAAAGUAUAUUUUUAAA